rnacentral:rRNA from 1 species
UACAGAGGUCUCAAGCGUUGUUCGGAUUCAUUGGGCGUAAAGGGUGCGUAGGCGGCGCGGUAAGUCCGCUGUGAAAGUCGGGGGCUCAACCCUCGAAUGCCGGUGGAUACUGUCGGGCUAGAGUGCGGAAGAGGCGAGUGGAAUUCCUGGUGUAGCGGUGAAAUGCGCAGAUAUCAGGAGGAACACCUAUUGCGAAGGCAGCUCGCUGGGACGUAACUGACGCUGAGACGCGAAAGCGUGGGGAGCAAACAGG